UUUUUUUUUUUUACGCUCUGAAAACCUCUCGAGAGCAAAGAAUGAUGACGCUGGUACAGUGGGAGCCGACGCACGCUUUAAAAAAAGGAGGGGGGGGUAAAAGAAGAAGAAGGAUGGAUACACAAAGCGACCCUACAGUAUAGCCUAAUCAGAUGACAGUGAUACGAUGAGACCCGGUUUCAUAGCCUCCUGUAGAGCAGACAAUCAACUAAUUGCCGGAACUUUUUCAUAACAACAGCGACAAGAAGAACCACAUGAAUCCGGCUGCUAGAGACUGACAAUGAUCAUUAAAAAUAUGAGCAUAAAAAAGCACAAGGCAGCGCCAUUAUCACACACGGGUAUGUUCCGCUCAUGAUGGCAUUACUGUCCGUCAUAAAAAAUGCGACCAAGUUUCUAGAGGAGAGAGCGUGUGCGUAAAGUGUCCUCCUCCGUGAUUCACGCUUGCUCUCUGAAGUAGGAGGAGGACUCAUAAUUUGAGAUCACGGAGCUUAUAAUAGGAGUAGGUUAUGCCAACUGCUUCCACCUCUCAGCACUGCAUAAAGGAAGAGGUGCAGGUGAGUAUUUGUGCUCAUUUAUGUUUUUUUGUUUUUGUUUUUUAACCUGGACAGUGUUUUAGAUGCAUUAAAAGUGGGCUGCUCUCACGCAAUAUGCUGAUCCGAAUCUAAAUCAAAACGCGUGUCUUUUGUUUUGACAGCCUCUAACUUUUUUGUCGCUUCCUCUUCGUUAUCGCUUAUGCUUUUCUCUUUUUUUUUUUUUGCACGAGAGAACGAGCUCGGUUUUGACGCAUGAAAACGGCUUUACGUGGCAAAGAAGAAGUGAAUGAAAGAUGAUGCAUGCCACGUAAAAUGCCUGAGGGAGCAAGUGUAAUCUAAAUUGGAUAUACAGGGUAUUAUUACACAACAUUAUGCGUUGUGGCGGACUAAUUGCGUGGCUGGGUGAGUUAAACAGUCAGUUAAUGUCGAGUGGCGGACAGGUUUCUGGAGCGCACAAGGUCAGCUCUGCACCCAAGUCUUUAGUGGUAGACUAUAUAGGAAAAAAAAUGCUUGAAGUAUUCAUGGGAUUUUUUAACCAUUCUAAAUCUGUGUCCUAAACCGAUUAGUUGACACCAAUUUUUCUUUGAUGUAUUAGCUGAGGGCUUUUGCCACUUGGAAGCCAAUUGAAAUUCAAAACAGUUUUCGCUCCAAAUGCUUUGGGGAGAUCUGCUGCAAAUAAUGGAUGUAAUUUAUUUUUGACCUUGCAUUUUUUUUUCUUCUUGAAGAAGGGGGUUAUUAAAUGAUUAAACAUAUGUGCACUGCGCUGCUUUACUAAACAACUGGCAUCCUAUACAGCUGUGAUCAGCCAUUAUUAUGAAAGUACAGCAGUAGUUUCACUCGUUUUAUUUAUGCGUUUUAUACGCAUGGCAACCGACAAUUUUUUUUCUUUAUAGUGUUUUUUUUUUCUAAACUCACUGUUACAAAGUUGUUGUUUUUGUUCUCCUAAAUGCAUUAAAACAUUAAUUCACUGUUUGAUUGUCUUUGUUUUGAAUUUGUUCAGGUCCAUGUUGAGGAAGUCAUCUCAUGUCACCAAGCAGUCAGUGAAAUGCAGCCCUCCCAAAACACACACACACACACACACACACACACACACACACACACACACACACACACACACGCAAACACAAAACUUAACUGUGGCAACAAUUAAGUUCACUUUACCUUCUGUUUGAAGUGAUGUUUAUCCGGCACAUCCACUUUAAUAUAAUACCCAGUUGUGUAUUUCUGUAAUAUUUUUGUUUUCAAUUUAUUUUAUUAGCUCUGUCAUACUUUCUAGGAACUUAUGUGUUAAUGUGGAAAAGUUUAAUGUUUUUCCUGGUGCCACAGCCAUUGUUCUCAUGAGCUGACACACAGUUAUUUGGCUUCGAAAAUCACACAAAUGACACAAAGCACAAUGAGCCAGUUUGGCUUUUGGGAGAGAGAGAGUCUAUUUUCUGAUCUCAUUCCUGUUCUUGUGGUUUCUUUUUCUUUUAUUGACCUGAAUGAAGACGUGGAGUGUG